rnacentral:ncRNA from 1 species
UAGGCUGCGAUGAAGAGAUAAGUACCUAAGCAACGAUCUUAAAGAGAACUCGGGUAGGUGAGAGCGAGUAGAUGGCGCAUAGUGAAAAUGGUCUUGGAGCAUUUCAUUUCGAAUGGAGUAGAAAUGAACGGGUGUGUCCGUUAUUGACACCGAGUAUUUUGAUACUUAGUAAGGUCAGCUUUGUAGCUGAUAAAUAAAAGGUGGUAACACGUGAUGACGUCCUUUCA